AAAGAGAACGAUGACCUCUUUGUGUGGCUGAGGUUCCAGGCUCGGAGAGGCAUGGCCGAGGCUCAGCAAGCGGUGAGCAGGAUGUUGUUCUGGGGGCAGCAAGGAAUCUCCAGCAAGCUGAAGGAAGCGGUGAAGUUCUACGAGAAAGGAGCCGCUCGGCUCAAAGACCCCACCCUGAUGUACGACUAUGGAGUGGUGCUUCUGAAGGGCCACGGAGUGAAGCAGGAUAUCCCCAAAGC